UACAACAUAGCGUUAAUGAAUCAGAUCCCAUUAGAACUCUGCAGUUAAGCAUGGUCAAGAUAGAGUAGUACUGGGAUGGGUGACCACCUAGGAAGUCCUAGUGUUUUAC
rnacentral:rRNA from 1 species